UACGGGGGUGGCGAGCGUUACUCGGAUUCAUUGGGUGUAAAGGACAGGUAGGUGGCUAUGUAAGUUGGAGGUGAAAUCCUGCGGCUCAACCGCAGAACUGCCUUCAAGACCGCAUAGCUUGAGGCUAGAAGAGGAGAGCGGAAUUCCCGGUGUAAGGGUGAAAUCUGUAGAUAUCGGGAGGAACACCAGUGGCGAAAGCGGCUCUCUGGUCUGGUCCUGACACUGAUCUGUGAAAGCUAGGGGAGCAAACAGG
rnacentral:rRNA from 1 species